GACGAACGCUGGCGGCGUGCCUAAUACAUGCAAGUCGAACGAGAGCGACCGGUGCUUGCACUGGUCAAUCUAGUGGCGAACGGGUGAGUAACACGUGGGUAACCUGCCCAUCAGAGGGGGAUAACAUUCGGAAACGGAUGCUAAAACCGCAUAGGUCUUCGAACCGCAUGGUUUGAAGAGGAAAAGAGGCGCAAGCUUCUGCUGAUGGAUGGACCCGCGGUGCAUUAGCUAGUUGGUGAGGUAACGGCUCACCAAGGCCGUGAUGCAUAGCCGACCUGAGAGGGUGAUCGGCCACAUUGGGACUGAGACACGGCCCAAACUCCUACGGGAGGCAGCAGUAGGAAAUCUUCCGCAAUGGACGCAAGUCUGACGGAGCAACGCCGCGUGAGUGAAGAAGGUUUUCGGAUCGUAAAACUCUGUUGUUAGAGAAGAACAAGUGCUAGAGUAACUGUUAGCGCCUUGACGGUAUCUAACCAGAAAGCC
rnacentral:rRNA from 1 species